UGUAUGAAACAAUGCCGCCUCCGACGCCUGGACUCCGCUCCUCAGUGACGGGGACGCAGCCGAGCGGCCUUCCUCAGCACCGUCCCCUCUUCUGCGGGCUCUGAAUUCGAGUGCCUCCACCUGCCAGACCCGCGUAAGCGAGUUAUGUCCCUGUGCUGCCCUGUUUCUGGCUGGGAGACACAGGAGAUGCGAGUGGUUCUUCACAGAGCCAGUAUUCGCCCCUCCUGGAAUGUGGUCAGGGCACCAGACGGGACCCAGCGAUGAAUGGGCAGAUGGACGUAUGUCUGCAAAUCCACCAGGGAUGGAAACGAGCCCACGGACUCCAUGCCGGAUGGGUCCAUACUGGCCUACACAUCCCAAAUAAUCCCAUCCAUGCACAGAACGUCCACAUAAGACAGGAUGAAGAAGAUUGUCCCCAGGCAGCUCUGCCAUCAGCUCUGCAAACACCCCUGGAGCUAGAAACAAAUGCAAGGUUCCAGCAAUUUUCCUAGGCAGUCCAGAGAGAAGAUGCAAAAAAAGGAAGCUUACAUUACUAUCACAUGAAAUAUGUGGUCAAAACAACCAGAGUAAUAGCUUGAGGAAGAAAAACAAAACUUCAAGGAAGAAAAUACAAGUGAAGAGAAAAAAUUCAGCCCUGCUGUCAUUUAAGAGCACUGCUGUGGGUUGAUUUGAGUGCCUCCAAAGUCUUAGGGUGAAGUUCUAACCACCUCAUGGUACAACCUUCUAUGGAGACAGGGUUGUUGCCGAUGUCCUUAAUUCAGAUGAGGCCAUCCUGGAGCACAGCGGGCCCUAAUCUAAUGUGAUUUAUAAGAAGGGUAGACAGACAUACACCUACAGAGGAUGCUCUGUAAGCUUGAACCCAGAGGCUUGGUGAUGCUUCCACCAACUGGGUCUCCCUGAAGUUUGUCAGCAAAGCACCGGAAGCUAGGAGAAGCCUGGGAAAGAUGGUCGCUCCCAGCCUCAGAAGGAGCCAAUCCAGCCAAGCCCUUAAUCUCAGACUUCCGGCCUCCAGAGCUGCUAGAUGAUCCAUUUCUGUGGUCUAAGGCUUCUGGCCCUGGUUAUUUUGUUUCGACUGCUCUAGCAGACUGAUACGUGCAGCUGAAAAUAUGCCCAUGUGUGACUACAAUGUAGAGAAUAAGUGUCAUGACAAAAUUAAAAUGCAAUAUACAAAGGCGGUAAAAUAAACAGUACUGUGAAAAUUAAUAAGGGGAUACCUCACUGAAGGGGCGUCAGGAGGGAGCUCUCAGACCCUCUCACUCCUGGUCAGUCACAAAUCCAGCAGGAAGAGAGGGACCUUGCAGGUGGAGGCUGCUCUACUACACACGCGGGAGGAAGGAAGGCUCUCCUUGAGGCCAACAGCCCAGCCCAUGAGAAACGGUCACAGCUCAGCCAAGGAGGAGUCGCCACAUCCCAGCUCUCAGUUUACGCCAAUGGACCUUCUGUGGAGGCAGCUGCUUCCAAUAGCUGGUCUGUCGUCCAGGGUUAAAGACCAGCUCUGCCACCUUACCCGGAGCCAGACCUGAAGGGCCCCAGCCCACAGCUCCCCAUCCACAGAUGAUCCACGGCAAAUACAUCCCAGACCCCUGCUCGCCACUCUGGUCUCACAGCAUCCUGGCCAGCCAACAACCACCUCAGAGCCUGCUUCCCAGGGCCCCAACCACUGUACCUGAAGACCAGAGAAGAGUUCUAG